AACGCAUCUUGCGCUCUUGGGUUAUUCCUAAGAGCAUGCUUGUUGGAGUAACGGAAAAGCUCAACCCCGCCCUUCUUAAUUGGAGAGUAGACUAGGGUUUGGAUCAUGACACAUGUUGGACUUCGAUCUAACUAUGUUGAAAUACAAGAAGCUGAACCUUUGAAUUAAAUUAUGCAGGCUUCGGUCAUACUAUUGUUGUAGUCAUUCUCAAUAGUUUUGCAUUUUCAGAGCAAUUAGGCUUAACACAAACCGUUGAUACCUUUCGAGAUAUCACACUUUAUUUGCUUGUUCCCCAAUCAAGUAGGACUACCCGCUGAACUUAA
rnacentral:misc_RNA from 1 species